CAGCCAUAUCACAUUGAAACACCAGUUCUUGUAAGAUCACAGAAGUUAAGCAAUGUCAAGCAUGGUCAGUAUCUGGAUGGGUAACCACUUGGGAGUACUAGGUGCUGUA